CUGAUGCAGCCAUGCCGCGUGUGUGAAGAAGGCCUUCGGGUUGUAAAGCACUUUCAGUCAGGAGGAAAGGUUAGUAGUUAAUACCUGCUAGCUGUGACGUUACUGACAGAAGAAGCACCGGCUAACUCCGUGCCAGCAGCCGCGGUAAUACGGAGGGUGCGAGCGUUAAUCGGAAUUACUGGGCGUAAAGCGUACGCAGGCGGUUUGUUAAGCGAGAUGUGAAAGCCCCGGGCUCAACCUGGGAACUGCAUUUCGAACUGGCAAACUAGAGUGUGAUAGAGGGUGGUAGAAUUUCAGGUGUAGCGGUGAAAUGCGUAGAGAUCUGAAGGAAUACCGAUGGCGAAGGCAGCCACCUGGGUCAACACUGACGCUCAUGUACGAAAGCGUGGGGAGCAAACGGGAUUAGAUACCCCGGUAGUCCACGCCGUAAACGAUGUCUACUAGAAGCUCGGAGCCUCGGUUCUGUUUUUCAAAGCUAACGCAUUAAGUAGACCGCCUGGGGAGUACGGCCGCAAGGUUAAAACUCAA
rnacentral:rRNA from 1 species